GCUGUAGCAGCCGGCGGCGGGGGCAGGAGUCAGCCCGCUUCCGACUGUACCCCGCCCGCCUCCCGGGGCUCCUAUUCUUUGGCCCCGGGACCCUAACCUCAUCCCGGGGCGGUUCCCUCCGGGCGUCCGAGUGCUGCCCACCUCUCCUUCUUCAUUCCUCCCUGCACCUCCUUACCUUCACUUUGCCCCGGUUCUCUUUCUCCUCUCUGUGUCCUGCCCUGUCGCCUCCUCUCCUCACUCUAUCCCUCCUGCCUCCUUCCCUGGCUCGUUCUACCCAGGAAAGUUUAGUUGCCAUCCCCCCCUACCCCCCACCAUCAGGUCAACCUGACUAGUAAGCUAGGAGUAGGGGGAGAUGUAGGAAGGCCUGAGAGUUCGAGGCGGGGGGGAAGUUGUUUUCCCUGAAAAAUUCCCCCAUCUUUUUAAUUUCGGGUGGUUGCAGUUUUUUAAGAUCGUGUUUUUGAGGAGGUGGUAGGUGUUCAGAAAAGGAUGUGGGAAUGGAAGGGGUAGAUGAGUCAACCCUGUUACAAGAUUCCAAGGGUGGUGUGUUACCUGAUCCUUUUCGUGUGUGGAGUUCAGGGGGUCGGGAGGUUUGGCCUUUAUUCCCACAUUCAAAGUUGGAACCCCCCCCAAAUUAAGAAUGGAGUUUUAGUAUCCACUUGUGGCUGGAAUCCUGGGGGGAAGGGGACCUUUUUUCCUUUUUCUUUUUUGUUUUCUUUUAUUUUUUUGGCAACCCACACCCUUCCACACACACCCCAAAAUUAAACACCAAGAUCCUCUAACUUGUGUGGAUUGACUGAUGAAGACAUAAAGCCAGUUUCCGCUCUAUGUUUUUUGAGGUGGAGUGAGUGGUUUUCUUCAUUUUUAAAUGGCCAAAUGACAGCUUGACCCAGUUUGCUUUCCAAUCAAAGGGCAUUUUUUGAAUGUCUCUUUGUGGCACAAGAGCCAACGCAAAAAUGAUGGCGGCUUACAAUGGCGGUACAUCUGCAGCAGCAGCAGGUCACCACCACCACCAUCACCACCACCUUCCACACCUCCCUCCUCCUCACCUUCACCACCACCACCACCCUCAACACCAUCUUCAUCCGGGGUCGGCUGCUGCUGUACACCCUGUACAGCAGCAUACCUCUUCGGCAGCUGCGGCAGCCGCAGCAGCGGCCGCAGCUGCAGCCAUGUUAAACCCUGGGCAACAACAGUCAUAUUUCCCAUCACCGGCACCGGGUCAGGCUCCUGGACCAGCUGCAGCAGCCCCAGCUCAGGUACAGGCUGCCACAGCUGCUACAGUUAAGGCUCACCAUCAUCAGCACUCGCAUCAUCCACAACAGCAGCUGGAUAUUGAGCCGGAUAGACCUAUUGGAUAUGGAGCUUUUGGUGUUGUCUGGUCAGUAACAGAUCCAAGAGAUGGAAAGAGAGUAGCACUCAAAAAGAUGCCCAACGUCUUCCAGAAUCUGGUCUCUUGCAAAAGGGUCUUCCGGGAAUUGAAGAUGUUGUGUUUUUUUAAACAUGAUAAUGUACUCUCUGCCCUUGACAUACUCCAGCCUCCACACAUUGACUAUUUUGAAGAAAUAUAUGUUGUCACAGAAUUGAUGCAGAGUGACCUACAUAAAAUUAUCGUCUCUCCUCAACCACUCAGCUCAGAUCAUGUCAAAGUUUUUCUUUAUCAGAUUUUACGAGGUUUGAAAUAUCUCCAUUCAGCUGGCAUUUUACAUCGAGACAUUAAGCCAGGGAAUCUCCUUGUGAACAGCAACUGUGUUCUAAAGAUUUGUGAUUUUGGAUUGGCCAGAGUGGAAGAAUUAGAUGAAUCUCGUCAUAUGACUCAGGAAGUUGUUACUCAGUAUUAUCGGGCUCCAGAAAUCCUGAUGGGCAGCCGUCAUUACAGCAAUGCUAUUGACAUCUGGUCUGUCGGCUGUAUUUUUGCAGAACUACUAGGACGAAGAAUAUUGUUUCAGGCACAGAGUCCCAUUCAGCAGUUGGAUUUGAUCACGGAUCUGUUGGGCACACCAUCACUGGAAGCAAUGAGGACGGCUUGUGAAGGCGCUAAGGCACACAUACUCAGGGGUCCUCAUAAACAGCCAUCUCUUCCUGUACUUUAUACCCUGUCCAGCCAGGCUACACAUGAAGCUGUUCAUCUCCUUUGCAGGAUGUUGGUCUUUGAUCCAUCCAAAAGAAUAUCCGCUAAGGAUGCCUUAGCCCACCCCUACCUAGAUGAAGGGCGACUUCGAUAUCACACAUGUAUGUGUAAAUGUUGCUUUUCCACCUCUACUGGAAGAGUUUAUACCAGUGACUUUGAGCCCGUCACCAAUCCCAAAUUUGAUGACACUUUUGAGAAGAACCUCAGUUCUGUUCGACAGGUGAAAGAAAUUAUUCACCAGUUCAUUCUGGAACAGCAGAAAGGAAACAGAGUGCCUCUCUGCAUCAACCCUCAGUCUGCUGCUUUUAAGAGCUUUAUUAGUUCCACUGUUGCUCAGCCGUCUGAGAUGCCCCCAUCUCCUCUGGUAUGGGAGUGACUGUGGAAGAUAAUGUACUACUGAAGAUGUAAUGUAGCUUUCCACUGGAGUCUGGGAUUUGCAAUUCUGGAGUUCAAUGUGGAGACUUGAAACUUGAAUGUCCCUUCCAACUUUUAUAUUAAAAAAAAAAAAAGACAAAAUUGAAGAUCGUUUUUCACCUGUACAAGGAAUACUAAUGGAUCGUCUUAAAAUUGGUCUAGGAAAAAACCUUGGUGUGUGUUAUGGACAAUUAACUGUUUAAAGUUAUUGUAAGUUAUCUGUAUUUAGCAGAGAUUUUCAUCUUGAGUGAUCUGAGCUGAAUUUGAAGACUAUUAAUAAGUUAUGUCUGGAAGUUUUAACUUCAAUGAAGUAAUUAUUUGCUGUGAAAGAAACAAACAUUGAAUUACUAAACAAAGAUGGUGCAAUAUCUUUGUUUUUUUUUAUGAGGCUCCUGAGAAUCAACCCAACUGAAGCAUUUCAAUUCACUUGAAUGAGAAACGUGUUUAGUAUCAAAAGAGCCCAAGAAGACACUGGUGUGAAAGGUACAAUCUCAGAGGUUGGUCAAUUACCGUGGCACACUUACUGGUCACUUUGUACAAUGUAGAUUUGAAGUACAGUGGUGAAAACAUUAAAUGUGACAUUUGAAAAAGAGGUGUCAUCUGUGCUGUGUUAUUUCAAUUCCUUUCCUUUGUUUCCUCUUCAGUACAGCUUGUUUCCUGACUUGGCAGUGUUUUGAGACAUUUCCCUAUUUAUAUUUCCAUUUUGAUAUUGGAGGAAACUAGUUUUAUAUUUUUUUAAAAAAUCUCUGCAGAAACUUUAGAUUGCCAAAAAACGGAUUGAAAACUUAGUUUAACUGAUAUCAAAGAUAGUGUGAUUUGUAUAUACAAUUCGGAAGUCUUUCUAGACCUCAGCAUUUCUGAUCCAGUCAGAUGUUUUCUUUUUUUUUUUUUUACGCAGAGAACCCUGUUUUCAAAAAUGUAGAAUUUCUAAAGCUAGCAUGGACAAGUCAGGACUGUAAUCAGCUACAAUUUGUUUGCAGUUUAAUUUCAGUAUAAAGUACGUAAUAAUACAUUAAGAGCUCAGAAAAUGAAGACAACUUCUUGUAGUGGCUCAUCUGGUUUGGAAUUAAGUUUUAUUUUGUUUUUCCUUUAUGGUAUGCCAUUUAAAAUAGUACUUUUAUGUUAAGAUAAAACUAUAUUGAAGAACAAAAUGUAAAGUUUGCAUCAGUUUUGAAGUUAAGACAGCUUUUAUAGGGGCUGUUUCCUACCAUGCUGCCAGAUCUCUGGGGGAAUUAAUUAACUCUCCUAAAAGAACAGUGUUUAUCAAAUGCCAGGUCAUGUAUUAAACUCUUUAGGAAUAUCCCCAUCUCCUGUGGAAGAGGCACUUUAGUGGUAAAGCCUGAAUAGCACCGCGGUAAGUGGACACUUAAGAGUCUACUCUGCAGUACGCCACUCGCCGCUUCUCCUUAACCCUGUGGUGACCCAAUUAUUUUCUGCUUUGAGUGUUUUGUUGAUACCAUGUCUUUUCAUUAAUGGAAGCAUGCUGAAUCAUUGGGUGUGUCUGCAUUUUUAGUAGGUAUUAUGGAUUUUUUGUUGUUGUUGUUGCCCCUCCUACAAGCCUACCCUAAGUGUUUAAUGGUACACGUGAAGUACCACUAGUUAUACCCAGGAGUCCCCACUGGGGUCUGUUGGUACAUAUGUGUAACAAAAAUUUUCAAAAUUUCUAUUUUUUUCCUACCAAAAAUUCAGGCACCUCAUAUAAUACCUGUGAAAACAGUAGUUUGUAGCACAUACCUGUUUCUUCGGUUUCAAACAGUCAUAAAGG